UCCUUUGCGUUGAGUCUGAAAACUGCUGGGCAUGGGCACAUGUCUGAAGCCUAGCACUUGGGAGGUAGAGGCAGGAGGAU
rnacentral:miRNA from 1 species